rnacentral:misc_RNA from 1 species
GAUGAAGAACGCAGUGAAAUGCGAUAAGUAGUGUGAAUUGCAGAAUUCAGUGAAUCAUCGAAUCUUUGAACGCACAUUGCGCCCGCCAGUAUUCUGGCGGGCAUGCCUGUUCGAGCGUCAUUACAACCCUCAGGCCCCCGGGCCUGGCGUUGGGGAUCGGCGGAAGCCCCCUGCGGGCACAACGCCGUCCCCCAAAUACAGUGGCGGUCCCGCCGCAGCUUCCAUUGCGUAGUAGCUAACACCUCGCAACUGGAGAGCGGCGCGGCCACGCCGUAAAACACCCAACUUCUGAAUGUUGACCUCGAAUCAGGUAGGAAUACCCGCUGAACUUAAGCAUAUCAAUAAGCGGAGGA